rnacentral:rRNA from 1 species
AUUGAACGCUGGCGGCAUGCCUUACACAUGCAAGUCGAACGGUAACAGGUCUUAGGUCGCUGACGUGUGGCGGACGGGUGAGUAAUACAUCAGAACGUGCCCGAUCGUGGGGGGUAACGAGGCGAAAGCUGUGCUAAUACCGCAUACGAUCUACGGAUCAAAGCGGGGGAUCUUCGGACCUCGCGCGGACGGAGCGGCCGAUGGCCGAUUAGGUAGUUGGUGGGAUAAAAGCUUACCAAGCCGACGAUCUGUAGCUGGUCUGAGAGGAUGAUCAGCCACACUGGGACUGAGACACGGCCCAGACUCCUACGGGAGGCAGCAGUGGGGAAUUUUGGACAAUGGGCGAAAGCCUGAUCCAGCCAUGCCGCGUGCAGGAUGAAGGCCUUCGGGUUGUAAACUGCUUUUGUACGGAACGAAAAGACUCUUUCUAAUAAAGAGGGGUCAUGACGGUACCGUAAGAAUAAGCACCGGCUAACUACGUG